GGGGGGGGCAAGCGUUGUUCGGAAUUACUGGGCGUAAAGGGCGCGUAGGCGGCCUUCUAAGUCGGACGUGAAAUCCCUCGGCUUAACCGAGGAACUGCGUCCGAUACUGAAAGGCUUGAAUCCGGGAGAGGGAUGUGGAAUUCCAGGUGUAGCGGUGAAAUGCGUAGAUAUCUGGAGGAACACCGGUGGCGAAGGCGGCAUCCUGGACCGGUAUUGACGCUGAGGCGCGAAAGCUAGGGGAGCAAACGGGAUUAGAUACCCCGGUAGUCCUAGCCCUAAACGAUGAGUGCUUGGUGUGGCGGGUAUCGAUCCCUGCCGUGCCGAAGCUAACGCAUUAAGCACUCCGCCUGGGGAGUACGGUCGCUUGGCUG
rnacentral:rRNA from 1 species